rnacentral:rRNA from 1 species
UACGUAGGGGGCAAGCGUUGUCCGGAAUCAUUGGGCGUAAAGAGCGCGUAGGCGGCCCUGUAAGUCCGCUGUGAAAGUCAAGGGCUCAACCCUUGAAUGCCGGUGGAUACUGCAGGGCUAGAGUCCGGAAGAGGCGAGUGGAAUUCCUGGUGUAGCGGCGAAAUGCGCAGAUAUCAGGAGGAACACCGAUGGCGAAGGCAGCUCGCUGGGACGGUACUGACGCUGAGGCGCGAAAGCGUGGGGAGCGAACAGG